AAUGAACGUUGGCGGCAUGGAUUAGGCAUGCAAGUCGCGCGCGAAACGUAGCAAUACGUGGAGAGCGGCGAAAGGGAGAGGAAUACGUGGGAACCUACCUCGGGGCCUGGAAUAGCGACGGGAAACUGCCGGUAAUGCCAGAUGCCGUCUCCGGACCAAAGGUGUGAUUCCGCCUGGAGAUGGGCCCACGUCCUAUCAGCUUGUUGGUGUGGUAAUGGCGCACCAAGGCUAAGACGGGUAUGGGGUGUGAGAGCAUGCCCCCACUCACUGGGACUGAGACACUGCCCAGACACCUACGGGUGGCUGCAGUCGAGAAUCUUCGGCAAUGAGCGCAAGCUUGACCGAGCGAUGCCGCGUGCGGGAUGAAGGCCCUCGGGUUGUAAACCGCUGUCGUAGAGGAGUAAUGGUCAGGGGGUUCUCCCUCUGAUUUGAACAAUUCUAGGAGGAAGGACGGGCUAAGUUCGUGCCAGCCGCCGCCGUAACAC
rnacentral:rRNA from 1 species